rnacentral:lncRNA from 1 species
ACACACACACACACACACACAUAUAUAUAUCAUUACGUCUUAUCAAAUUCAUAUACCAAGCAUACCCCACGCCUUUACUAUGACCAAAAUUACUUAAACCUUGGAUCAUUAGCAUUAGAUCAAGCCAUUUUCGCAUGGCUAAAUAUAUAUACAAAAACUAAAUUAAAAACUAGCCUAUACAUGCCACAUAACCAAAAACUCAAAGCUUUAAUUUACCGAAGCCAUAACCGGAUAGUGUGAUCACGACUCCAACGUCUUCCAACCCGAGCAAGUCUUUAGAACUCUAAAAAAAACAUAAGAAAAACACACAGAGUAAGCUAUUACAGCUUAGUAAGUCAUAAGCAAAUAGAUAACUUAACAACAUUAAUUAGUUACAACAAAAUCAAAUCAUGUUUUCAAUAUUCGUAUACAUUUCCAUAAUCGAAAAAUACAUUUAUCAAACACGUACUAUACAUCAAAUCCAUAUUUAACCAAAUACACAUAAGUUUAACAUUUGGCCGAAUGUAUAUAUAUAUAUAUCAAACAAUUUCAUGACAACCAAUAUAUGUACAUACUCACUAAUCACAAAGAUCCGAACGUUUAUAUGCUCAUCAAAUACAUUGAAACAAAUGUUCAUAUAUUUAUCCAUUACAUAUAACCAAAAUCAUAUAUAUAUAUACACCCAAUGCAUAUAAUCACUUAAUUUAAACAGAUUCACUGGCACUUCACCUGCUAGGCUUAUAGCCUGAUUCAGUUCACCGACACUUAGCUUGCUAGGCUUAUAGCCUGAUUCAGUUCACCGGCACUUAGCCUGCUAGGCUAAUAGCCUGAUUCAGUUCACCGGCACUUAGCCUGCUAGGCUUAUAGCCUGAUUCAGUUCACCGGCACUUAGCCUACUAGGCUUAUAGCCUGAUUCAGUUCACCGGCACUUAGCCUGCUAGACGUAAAGUCCAAAACAUUUCACCGGCAAUUAAUCUGAUUGGUACUAAGCUUUAAAAAAAAAUCUCAAUUCACAAAAGUUGUAUCUCAUAUUUGUAUAUAGAAUCCACAUAAAAUUCAGCUCAAUAAUUUAUAAACUAUAUCUUUAAAUAACAUAGAUGUAUAAAGUUCAAACAUCAAUUCCAGCUCAAUAAUUUAAUUAUACAUCCAAACCUAUAUAUAUAUAUAACUUAAUGCAUUAAUCUACUACUAAUAUCAUAUAUUCGAUCAUCUUUUAAUAAUCCAACUAAUAAUUUCAUACUUUCAAUGCUAUUCAAGAACUUUACAUGAAUAUAUACUUGUAUAUUAGCAUAACCGAACCUCGUGUAACCUUGUAUAAUUGUCAUACCUAAAUUCACUAUAAAAUCAUAUACGUGUAUGUAUACCUGAUCAUUCAAAUAUAAUAUAUAUAUAAUUACCAACUCACAUAUACAAAUAUAAGUUACAUAUCUUAAUCAAAUAUAAGAGUUUAUACAUAUAUAUAUUUAUAUACAUAUAUUCGGACCUAAUAUACAUAUAUAUGUAUAUAUCAUACUUACCUUGGAUUAAAACCAAGAAUUUAUACAUAUACAACAUUCAUACUUCCACUAAAUUCAAAAACUAUAUAUAUACAUAUGUAUAUAUAUUCGAUCAUUAUGUAUAUAAUUAUAAAUAUAUAUAUACAUAUUCAUACCUUUAUCUAAAUUCAAGGUUUAUUCAUGCUAUUACAUAUAUUUUUGAAUCUAUCAUAUACAAGUAUAGUUUCUUACCUAAUUUCAUUACAAUAGAUUUUCAUAUAUAUACAUGCCUAUCUGAAUCUCACCUUUACUUAUAUAAAAUUUAAACCUAUAAUUUAACUCAUGAACUUAUACAAGAUUAUACUUGUAUAUUCGAAACUAUCAAAUACUUAUAUAAAAUUUAUACUUAUACUUCAAAUUAUAAACAUUUAAUUACAGCUCAUCAAGUAUACAAUCGAUAUACAUGUAUAAAUAUUGAUUUAUUAACUUUUAAAUUGCUAAUAGACUUACCUCGGAUAUCGACGGACAUAGUCGACUACUUUCGACUUUCCCCGAUCUAAUUCCGUUUUCUUCUGUUCUUGAUUUAAAUAAGUUCAAAUUUAACUAAUUUAACCAAAUAUUCAUUUAAUUAAAUCCAAAAACACAUAAAUGGGUAAAUUACACUUUUUCCCCUAACAUUUCACAUUUUUCACAAACUAGUCCCUAUUUCACAAAAAUACAAAAUAAACAAACUUUCCUUGCACAAUAGCUUGGCCGAAUAUGCACUAAGCUCAUAUAAAUCCAUGCAUGUCAUUUAUUUCACAUUUUAGUCCCUCAAUUUAUUAUUUUUGCAAUUUAGCCUUAAUUACUCAAAAUCAUCAAAAAUUCAAUUUCAACAUAUAUAUAUAUCCAUUUCAUAUAUUUUAUUUUCUAUCAUUAAACAACAAAAUUACAAGCUUUCAACAAUGGCAAAACACAAAAUCAUCAUCAAAUUCAAAAAUUUAAGCAUGAGUCGAGUAGUAUUCGAAACAACGAUCUCAAAAACAUAAAAAUCAUCAAAAACCGAAACCGAAACAUACCUUAAUUUGCUUGAGCAAGGGCCGAAUACCUAGCUUGGUUUUCUUAUUUUCUUUCUCUUUUCAUUCGGCACAAAGAUAAUGAAUAUGACCACUUUCUUAUGUUUUGUUUUUA